AACGUAGGAGACAAACGUUAUCCGGAGUUACUGGGCGUAAAGGGCGUGUAGGUGGUUGCGUAAGUCUGGCGUGAAAUUUUUCGGCUUAACCGGGAAAGGUCGUCGGAUACUGCGUAGCUAGAGGACGGUAGAGGCGUGUGGAAUUCCGGGUGUAGUGGUGAAAUGCGUAGAUAUACGGAGGAACACCUGCGGCGAAGGCGGGUAGCUGGGCCAACACUGACGCUGAUGCGCGAAAGCUAGGGGAGCAAACGGG
rnacentral:rRNA from 1 species